UCUCCGAUAGUUCAGUUGGUAGAACGUCUGACUGUUAAUCAGAAGUAGGUUCGAACCCUACUCGGAGAGCCA
rnacentral:tRNA from 1 species